AAAAAGAUAAGCUAAACAAGCUAAUGGGUUCAUACCCCUUUUAUAGGGGUCAAAUCCCCUUCUUUUUA
rnacentral:tRNA from 1 species